AUUGAACGCUGGCGGCAGGCCUAACACAUGCAAGUCGAGCGGAGCGGCGGACGGGUGAGUAAUGACUAGGAAUCUGCCUGGUAGUGAGGGAUAACGUCCGGAAACGGGAGCUAAUACCGCAUCCUAUCAGAUGAGCCUAGGUCGGAUUAGCUAGUUGGUGGGGUAAAGGCCUACCAAGGCGACGAUCCGUAACUGGUCUGAGAGGAUGAUCAGCCACACUGGAACUGAGACACGGUCCAGACUCCUACGGGAGGCAGCAGUGGGGAAUAUUGGACAAUGGGCGAAAGCCUGAUGCAGCCAUGCCGCGUGUGUGAAGAAGGUCUUCGGGUUGUAAAGCACUUUAAGUUGGGAGGCGUUACCAACAGAAGAAGCACCGGCUAACUUCGUGCCAGCAGCCGCGGUAAUUC
rnacentral:rRNA from 1 species